AGAGUUUGAUCCUGGCUCAGGACGAACGCUGGCGGCGUGCUUAACACAUGCAAGUCGAACGGAAAGGCCUCUUCGGAGGUACUCGAGUGGCGAACGGGUGGGUAACACGUGGGCAAUCUGCCCUGCACUUCGGGAUAAGCCUGGGAAGCUGGGUCUAAUACCGGAUAGGACCUCAAGACGCAUGUCUUCUGGUGGAAAGCUUUUGCGGUGUGGGAUGGGCCCGCGGCCUAUCAGCUUGUUGGUGGGGUGACGGCCUACCAAGGCGACGACGGGUAGCCGGCCUGAGAGGGUGUCCGGCCACACUGGGACUGAGAUACGGCCCAGACUCCUACGGGAGGCAGCAGAAGGG
rnacentral:rRNA from 1 species